rnacentral:tRNA from 1 species
GGAAGGGAAUCGUCCCCGGUGGGGCGGCCGGCCUUCAAAUCCGGUUGAGGUCGCAUUGCGAUCUUUCGUGGGUUCGACUCCCACUCCCUUCCGCCA